AUGUUUUGGAUGGACGCUUGCUUGGGAAGCUAAUGAUUUGAAUCCUUGUGUGAAACGAAACAGGAAGCUCGGUCUAUUUGUUAAUUCUAAGUGAUUGUUCUUUUAUAGGGAAACAAUUUAUUCUUCAGUCUCAUUGCCUUUAUAUGGCAGACGACACCAAAAGAGAAGUCUGGGGAGUUGCUUGGUCUUAUGGCAUGUGAAAAUCAGAAUCGAUUGAUGGACGAGCGAUUGAAUCAGC
rnacentral:lncRNA from 1 species